rnacentral:rRNA from 1 species
UACGUAUGGUGCAAGCGUUAUCCGGAUUUACUGGGUGUAAAGGGAGCGCAGGCGGCACGGCAAGCCUGAUGUGAAAGCCCGCGGCCCAACCGCGGGACUGCAUUGGGAACUACCGGGCUGGAGUGCCGGAGAGGUAGGCGGAAUUCCUAGUGUAGCGGUGAAAUGCGUAGAUAUUAGGAGGAACACCAGUGGCGAAGGCGGCCUACUGGACGGUGACUGACGCUGAGGCUCGAAAGCGUGGGGAGCAAGCAGG